rnacentral:rRNA from 1 species
GAUGAACGCUGGCGGCGUGCCUAAUACAUGCCAGUCGAGCGAACAGACGAGGAGCUUGCUCCUCUGACGUUAGCGGCGGACGGGUGAGUAACACGUGGAUAACCUACCUAUAAGACUGGGAUAACUUCGGGAAACCGGAGCUAAUACCGGAUAAUAUAUUGAACCGCAUGGUUCAAUAGUGAAAGACGGUUUUGCUGUCACUUAUAGAUGGAUCCGCGCCGCAUUAGCUAGUUGGUAAGGUAACGGCUUACCAAGGCGACGAUGCGUAGCCGACCUGAGAGGGUGAUCGGCCACACUGGAACUGAGACACGGUCCAGACUCCUACGGGAGGCAGCAGUAGGGAAUCUUCCGCAAUGGGCGAAAGCCUGACGGAGCAACGCCGCGUGAGUGAUGAAGGUCUUCGGAUCGUAAAACUCUGUUAUUAGGGAAGAACAGAUGUGUAAGUAACUAUGCACGUCUUGACGGUACCUAAUCAGAAAGCCACGGCUAACUACGUG